GACCCUUUAAUCACCUCUUGUUAAGUGCGGGUGUGACAGGGCACAACCCCAACAACGGCCCCGCGCCCUUUCCGGUCUGCUGGGGGGGAACGAACAACUCGCAGACCGCGGCUCCCGCCCUCGUGGCCCUCCGAGGCUGCCUCAUUAAUAUUCCCCGCUUGCCCACUGGCACAGUCUAAUUGAAAUGCAGAGAGAAGUCUGUCAUUUAAAGUGAGCUCAGGAUGCAGGCAGCAAAGAAAACAAACCUCGCUUGUUCCGCUCAGAUGGCAUCACUUUCAGCUGUGUUGCCUUCUAAAGCACGCUGCCCUCCUUUCUUACACGCAGCCCUUCUCCGGUAGGAAGUGGACCCCUGCUAGGAUUCAUCCACAUUGAUUUUAGCUUUUCCAGCACAAGUAGAUCAGGACAGGUUUGACAGUUACAGGUGAGGGAUUAUAUUUAAAACACUGGACUUCUGCCACCUUCUGUUACCCACAAAAUUGCCAUAUGCUGACUUUUGAAUCUGGAAAUACCAGGAAUCAGUCAUCAGUGGCUGUCUUUGCUUCUGCAAAGGUCUCAUCUCCCCUCUUCACUAGCUAAUAUUGGCCAUCCUAAAUGAUGUUCAACACGAAUCUAUCAAUGACCAUCGAUUUGCCUAAGCUUCAAGGCCCUGAUGACUUCUGAGAGUGUUCCUGCACAUCUUUUCUCUCACCACAAUGCAGCCUGUAGACAGAUGAUGCAACCUGAACUGAAUGUGAUGAUGAGCACCCUCAGAUUGCUCAUCUGAAAUGCCCAGGGCUCAUCACUAAGAAAUUACCCUGAGUACUUUCUUCCUUAAGAAGCAACACAGCA